rnacentral:rRNA from 1 species
UACGUAGGGGGCAAGCGUUGUCCGGAUUUAUUGGGCGUAAAGCGCGUGUAGGCGGCCAGGUAGGUCCGCUGUGAAAACUCGAGGCUCAACCUCGAGAUGUCGGCGGAAACCAUCUGGCUAGAGUCCGGAAGAGGAGAAUGGAAUUCCUGGUGUAGCGGUGAAAUGCGCAGAUAUCUGGAGGAACACCGGUGGCGAAGGCGGCGUUCUGGACUGCAACUGACACUGAGGAACGAAAGCCAGGGGAGCAAACGGG